rnacentral:rRNA from 1 species
AUUGAACGCUGGCGGCAUGCCUAACACAUGCAAGUCGAACGGUAACAGGUUUUCGGAUGCUGACGAGUGGCGAACGGGUGCGUAAUACAGCGGAACGUGCCCAGACCUGGGGGAUAACGGGGCGAAAGCUAUGCUAAUACCGCAUACGAUCUAAUGCGGACAACAGGGGACCGCAAGGCAUUUUUCGUUUUUGCGGGCCGAUGGCAGAUUAUGUCGUUGGUGGGAUAAAAGCUGACCAAGCCGCCGAUCUGUAGCUGGUCUGAGAGGACGUCCAGCCACACUGGGACUGAGACACGGCCCAGACUCCUACGGGAGGCAGCAGUGGGGAAUUUUGGACAAUGGGCGCAAGCCUGAUCCAGCCAUGCCGCGUGCAGGAUGAAGGCCUUCGGGUUGUAAACUGCUUUUGUUCGGAAAGAAAAGGCUCUGGCUAAUACCUGGGGGACAUGACGGUACCGUAAGAAUAAGCACCGGCUAACUACGUG